rnacentral:misc_RNA from 1 species
AGGCAGAGAGUAGCAGUGCGAAAAAGGUACUGUCACCAUGUGACGUCGAGGCUUUGAAGAAAUGCUUGGAGGAGAACAAGGGUGACUACGUCAAAUGUCAAUCGCAGAUCGAAGCCUUCAAGUCUACUUGUUCCCUCAAGAAACCAUCUUCUUCCCUUCAAUCUUCAUCUUAGGAGGAGGAUCUUGGAUCUUCUGUGGGGACUCGGUCCUAUUGUUCGUUUGUCUCAUUUAUUUGUGUAUUAGCGAUUCUCUUUUGCAAGAACGCAGUUUUUGGUACCCAGUUGUUUGUGUAUUGUUGUUGCUGUGAAUUUUCUGUUUCGUAGCCCUGUUUGGAGUUCUUGUUAUUUGCAAUUUUGAUAGAAAUUCUAUUAGUUUCCCUUAA